rnacentral:rRNA from 1 species
GACCUCGGAUCAGGUAGGGAUACCCGCUGAACUUAAGCAUAUCAAUAAGCGGAGGAAAAGAANCCAACAGGGAUUGCCUCAGUAACGGCGAGUGAAGCGNCAACAGCUCAAAUUUGAAAUCUGCCUCUAGGCCGAGUUGUAAUUUGUAGAAGAUGCUUCGGGUGUGGCACUGGUCUAAGUUCCUUGGAACAGGACGUCAUAGAGGGUGAGAAUCCCGUACGUGACUGGCUGCCUUCGCCUAUGUGAAGCUCUUUCGACGAGUCGAGUUGUUUGGGAAUGCAGCUCAAAAUGGGUGGUAUAUUUCAUCUGAAGCUAAAUAUUGGCCAGAGACCGUUAGCGCACAAGUAGAGUGAUCGAAAGAUGAAAAGCACUUUGGAAAGAGAGUUAAACAGUACGUGAAAUUGUUGAAAGGGAAGCGCUUGCAAUCAGACUUGCGCGCCGUCGAUCAUCCGAGGUUUUCCCCGGUGCACUCGGCGGUGCUCAGGCCAGCAUCGGUUUCGGUGGUUAGAUAAAGGCCUUGGGAAUGUAGCUCCCCCGGGAGUGUUAUAGCCCUCGGUGCAAUGUAGCCUAUCGGGACCGAGGACCGCGCUUCGGCUAGGAUGCUGGCGUAAUGGUUGUAAGCGACC